rnacentral:rRNA from 1 species
UCGGGAUAACACCUGGAAACAAGAUGCUAAUACCGGAUAACAACAGAUGAUGCCUAUCAACUGUUUAAAAGAUGGUUCUGCUAUCACUCUUGGAUGGACCUGCGGUGCAUUAGCUAGUUGGUAGGGUAACGGCCUACCAAGGCGAUGAUGCAUAGCCGAGUUGAGAGACUGAUCGGCCACAUUGGGACUGAGACACGGCCCAAACUCCUACGGGAGGCAGCACC